GCUGGCGGCGUGCCUAAUACAUGCAAGUCGAGCGAAUCAAUAGGAGUUUGCUCCUGUUGGUUAGCGGCGGACGGGUGAGUAACACGUGGGCAACCUGCCUGUAAGACUGGGAUAACACCGGGAAACCGGUGCUAAUACCGGAUAAUCCUUUUCCUCACAUGAGGAAAAGCUGAAAGUCGGUUUCGGCUGACACUUACAGAUGGGCCCGCGGCGCAUUAGCUAGUUGGUGAGGUAACGGCUCACCAAGGCGACGAUGCGUAGCCGACCUGAGAGGGUGAUCGGCCACACUGGGACUGAGACACGGCCCAGACUCCUACGGGAGGCAGCAGUAGGGAAUCUUCCACAAUGGACGAAAGUCUGAUGGAGCAACGCCGCGUGAGCGAUGAAGGCCUUCGGGUCGUAAAGCUCUGUUGUUAGGGAAGAACAAGUACCGGAGUAACUGCCGGUACCUUGACGGUACCUAACCAGAAAGCCACGGCUAACUACGUGCCAGCAGCCGCGGUAAUACGUAGGUGGCAAGCGUUGUCCGGAAUUAUUGGGCGUAAAGCGCGCGCAGGCGGUCCUUUAAGUCUGAUGUGAAAGCCCACGGCCUCAACCGUGGAGGGUCAUUGGAAACU
rnacentral:rRNA from 1 species